CCUACGGGAGGCAGCAGUGAGGAAUAUUGGUCAAUGGGCGCGAGCCUGAACCAGCCAAGUCGCGUGAAGGAUGACUGCCCUACGGGUUGUAAACUUCUUUUAUAAAGGAAUAAAGUGAGGCACGUGUGUCUUCUUGUAUGUACUUUAUGAAUAAGGAUCGGCUAACUCCGUGCCAGCAGCCGCGGUAAUACGGAGGAUCCGAGCGUUAUCCGGAUUUAUUGGGGUUAAAGGGAGCGUAGGUGGGUUGUUAAGUCAGUUGUGAAAGUUUGCGGCUCAACCGUCAAAUUGCAAUUGAUACUGGCAGUCUUGAGUACAGUUGAGGUAGGCGGAAUGCGUGGUGUAGCGGUGAAAUGCUUAGAUAUCACGCAGAACUCCGAUUGCGAAGGCAGCUUACUAAACUGCCACUGACAUUGAUGCACGAAAGUGUGGGUAUCAAACAGGAUUAGAUACCCGAGUAGUC
rnacentral:rRNA from 1 species